rnacentral:rRNA from 1 species
GACGGAGGAUGCAAGCGUUAUCCGGAAUUAUUGGGCGUAAAGCGUCCGCAGGUGGCUGUUCAAGUCUGCUGUCAAAGCGCAGAGCUUAACUCUGUACAGGCGGUGGAAACUGAAGAGCUAGAGUAUGGUAGGGGUAGAGGGAAUUCCCGGUGUAGCGGUGAAAUGCGUAGAUGUCGGGAAGAACACCAGUGGCGAAAGCGCUCUACUGGGCCAUAACUGACACUGAGGGACGAAAGCUAGGGGAGCGAAAGGG